rnacentral:rRNA from 1 species
AGUGAACGCUGGCGGUAGGCCUAACACAUGCAAGUCGAACGGCAGCACAGUAAGAGCUUGCUCUUACGGGUGGCGAGUGGCGGACGGGUGAGGAAUACAUCGGAAUCUACUUUUUCGUGGGGGAUAACGUAGGGAAACUUACGCUAAUACCGCAUACGACCUACGGGUGAAAGCAGGGGAUCUUCGGACCUUGCGCGAUUGAAUGAGCCGAUGUCGGAUUAGCUAGUUGGCGGGGUAAAGGCCCACCAAGGCGACGAUCCGUAGCUGGUCUGAGAGGAUGAUCAGCGACACUGGAACUGAGACACGGUCCAGACUCCUACGGGAGGCAGCAGUGGGGAAUAUUGGACAAUGGGCGCAAGCCUGAUCCAGCCAUACCGCGUGGGUGAAGAAGGCCUUCGGGUUGUAAAGCCCUUUUGUUGGGAAAGAAAAGCAGCAGGUUAAUACCCCGCUGUUCUGACGGUACCCAAAGAACAAGCACCGGCUAACUUCGUG